AUGCCUAAUGAUAAAGCUAUUAAUAUUUCACCAUGGUUACACUAGUUUAGUUAUCAAAAGGAAACUAUGGUAUAAU
ncrna:Parvimonas micra ATCC 33270 dfrA-dnaX RNA